rnacentral:rRNA from 1 species
UGGGGAAUAUUGGACAAUGGGCGAAAGCCUGAUCCAGCCAUGCCGCGUGUGUGAAGAAGGUCUUCGGAUUGUAAAGCACUUUAAGUUGGGAGGAAGGGCAGUAAAUUAAUACUUUGCUGUUUUGACGUUACCGACAGAAUAAGCACCGGCUAACUCUGUGCCAGCAGCCGCGGUAAUACAGAGGGUGCAAGCGUUAAUCGGAAUUACUGGGCGUAAAGCGCGCGUAGGUGGUUCGUUAAGUUGGAUGUGAAAUCCCCGGGCUCAACCUGGGAACUGCAUUCAAAACUGACGAGCUAGAGUAUGGUAGAGGGUGGUGGAAUUUCCUGUGUAGCGGUGAAAUGCGUAGAUAUAGGAAGGAACACCAGUGGCGAAGGCGACCACCUGGACUGAUACUGACACUGAGGUGCGA